rnacentral:lncRNA from 1 species
UUUUUUUAACUUAGUUCCAUCUACAUCUGCAAUAAUUGUUACAUCUUCAGCUGCUACAAGUGUCCCACAACCUCCACAACAACUACAGAUUUAGGGUUCAGUACCCUAGACCAAUUAGUAAUCGGUCAUUUUUGCGGUGGGUCCGGUUAGGAGGGAAAAAUGGUGAAUCAUUCAGCUGGGUCUAUCAUCCUCCUAACAGGGGUGCUGGGAGCUACAGCAGAAGAGGAAGCCGUGGAGGAGGUUGUGGGCAAAGACGAAAUGGUGGCGGCCUUGUCGUGAAUGGUGGCAUCCACUAUUACUAGGC